UACGGGGGGAGCAAGCGUUGUUCGGAUUUACUGGGCGUAAAGGGCGCGUAGGCGGCGUAACAAGUCACUUGUGAAAUCUCCACGCUCAACGUGGAGGGGCCACUCGAUACUGCCAUGACUCGAGUCCGGUAGAGGAGUGUGGAAUUCCCGGUGUAGCGGUGAAAUGCGCAGAUAUCGGGAGGAACACCCGUAGCGAAGGCGGCACUCUGGGCCGGAACUGACGCUGAGGAGCGAAAGCGUGGGGAGCAAACAGG
rnacentral:rRNA from 1 species